rnacentral:rRNA from 1 species
UACGAAGGGGGCUAGCGUUGCUCGGAAUUACUGGGCGUAAAGCGCACGUAGGCGGAUCUUUAAGUCAGGGGUGAAAUCCUGGAGCUCAACUCCAGAACUGCCUUUGAUACUGGCGACCUUGAGUUCGGGAGAGGUGAGUGGAACUGCGAGUGUAGAGGUGAAAUUCGUAGAUAUUCGCAAGAACACCAGUGGCGAAGGCGGCUCACUGGCCCGAUACUGACGCUGAGGUGCGAAAGCGUGGGGAGCAAACAGG